AAGCAAAACCGCUAAAGAAGGGCAGAAAGGUUCCAUGAGACCCCAUGCCCACGUCAGGUUCCUCUUUGUCGUAGCCCACCCGGUGGUACGAGCCAAUUCGGGCUGGGGAGUCAUCCAAAGAGAAGCGAGAACGCAGAACUAGAAUCCCAUGAGACCGCAUGCCCAUGUAAGGUUCCAUAUCCAUGAUACCACGCAAUACUCAAUGRUCCACACCGCCAAUGCUAGCAUUACCAAUGUGGUUCAAAGAGACUGCUUCAAGGUUCAUCUCGUGSCAUGAAACUGACACGAGAUGAAAGCGACUUCGAUCGAUCAAGAUAAUACCAUCACUUAGGUAGGCAACACAGGAAACCCACAUUCCRCUUAGGCGAUACAAGCCUAAGCAGAUAACUGAAAAGGUAUGCA
rnacentral:misc_RNA from 1 species